rnacentral:rRNA from 1 species
GGGGAGUGAAAUAGAACCUGAAACCGUGUACGUACAAGCAGUAGGAGCACCUUCGUGGUGUGACUGCGUACCUUUUGUAUAAUGGGUCAGCGACUUAUAUUCAGUGGCAAGGUUAACCGUAUAGGGGAGCCGUAGCGAAAGCGAGUCUUAACUGGGCGCUCAGUCUCUGGAUAUAGACCCGAAACCGGGUGAUCUAGCCAUGGGCAGGUUGAAGGUUGAGUAACAUCAACUGGAGGACCGAACCGACUAAUGUUGAAAAAUUAGCGGAUGACUUGUGGCUAGGGGUGAAAGGCCAAUCAAACUCGGAGAUAGCUGGUUCUCCCCGAAAGCUA